rnacentral:rRNA from 1 species
AGAGUUUGAUCAUGGCUCAGAUUGAACGCUGGCGGCAGGCUUUAACACAUGCAAGUCGAACGGUAACAGGAAGAAAGCUUGCUUUCUUUGCUGACGAAUGGCGGACGGGUGAGUAAUGCUUGGGAAUCUUGGCUUAUGGAGGGGGAUAACUACGGGAAACUGUAGCUAAUACCGCGUAGUAUCGAGAGAUGAAAGUGUGGGACCGCAAGGCCACAUGCCAUAAGAUGAGCCCAAGUGGGAUUAGGUAGUUGGUUAGGUAAAGGCUGACCAAGCCGACGAUCUCUAGCUGGUCUGAGAGGAUGGCCAGCCACACUGGAACUGAGACACGGUCCAGACUCCUACGGGAGGCAGCAGUGGGGAAUAUUGCACAAUGGGGGGAACCCUGAUGCAGCCAUGCCGCGUGAAUGAAGAAGGCCUUCGGGUUGUAAAGUUCUUUCGGUGAUGAGGAAGGUGUUUGUUUUAAUAGAACAAGCAAUUGACGUUAGUCACAGAAGAAGCACCGGCUAACUCCGUGCCAGCAGCCGCGGUAAUACGGAGGGUGCGAGCGUUAAUCGGAAUAACUGGGCGUAAAGGGCACGCAGGCGGUGACUUAAGUGAGAUGUGAAAGCCCCGAGCUUAACUUGGGAAUUGCAUUCCAUACUGGGUCGCUAGAGUACUUUAGGGAGGGGUAGAAUUCCACGUGUAGCGGUGAAAUGCGUAGAGAUGUGGAGGAAUACCGAAGGCGAAGGCAGCCCCUUGGGAAUGUACUGACGCUCAUGUGCGAAAGCGUGGGGAGCAAACAGGAUUAGAUACCCUGGUAGUCCACGCUGUAAACGCUGUCGAUUUGGGGAUUGGGUUUUAUGCUUGGUGCCCGUAGCU